AUUGAACGCUAGCGGGAUGCCUUACACAUGCAAGUCGAACGGCAGCACGGACUUCGGUCUGGUGGCGAGUGGCGAACGGGUGAGUAAUGUAUCGGAACGUGCCCGGUAGCGGGGGAUAACUACUCGAAAGAGUAGCUAAUACCGCAUACGCCCUACGGGGGAAAGGGGGGGAUCGCAAGACCUCUCACUAUUGGAGCGGCCGAUAUCGGAUUAGCUAGUUGGUGGGGUAAAGGCCCACCAAGGCGACGAUCCGUAGCUGGUUUGAGAGGACGACCAGCCACACUGGGACUGAGACACGGCCCAGACUCCUACGGGAGGCAGCAGUGGGGAAUUUUGGACAAUGGGGGCAACCCUGAUUCAGCCAUCCCGCGUGUGCGGUGAAGGUCUUCGGGUUGUAAAGCACUUUUGGCAGGAAAGAAAUCGCACGGGCUAAUACCUCGUGUGGAUGACGGUACCUGCAGAAUAAGCACCGGCUAACUACGUGCCAGCCGCCGCAGUAA
rnacentral:rRNA from 1 species